GACGAACGCUGGCGGCGUGCCUAAUACAUGCAAGUAGAACGCUGAAGAGAGGAGCUUGCUCUUCUUGGAUGAGUUGCGAACGGGUGAGUAACGCGUAGGUAACCUGCCUUGUAGCGGGGGAUAACUAUUGGAAACGAUAGCUAAUACCGCAUAACAAUGGAUGACACAUGUCCUUUAUUUGAAAGGGGCAAUUGCUCCACUACAAGAUGGACCUGCGUUGUAUUAGCUAGUAGGUGAGGUAAUGGCUCACCUAGGCGACGAUACAUAGCCGACCUGAGAGGGUGAUCGGCCACACUGGGACGGAGACACGGCCCAGACUCCUACGGGGGGCAGCAGUAGGGAAUCUUCGGCAAUGGGGGCAACCCUGACCGAGCAACGCCGCGUGAGUGAAGAAGGGUUUCGGAUCGUAAAGCUCUGUUGUAAGUCAAGAACGGGGGUGAGAGUGGAAAGUUCACACUGUGACGGUAGCUUACCAGAAAGGGACGGCUAACUACGUG
rnacentral:rRNA from 1 species